AACGAACGCUGGCGGCAUGCCUAACACAUGCAAGUCGAACGAGACCUUCGGGUCUAGUGGCGCACGGGUGCGUAACGCGUGGGAACCUGCCCUUAGGUUCGGAAUAACUCCCCGAAAGGGGUGCUAAUACCGGAUAAUGUCUUCGGACCAAAGAUUUAUCGCCUUUGGAUGGGCCCGCGUUGGAUUAGCUAGUUGGUAGGGUAAAAGCCUACCAAGGCGACGAUCCAUAGCUGGUCUGAGAGGAUGAUCAGCCACACUGGGACUGAGACACGGCCCAGACUCCUACGGGAGGCAGCAGUGGGGAAUAUUGGACAAUGGGCGAAAGCCUGAUCCAGCAAUGCCGCGUGAGUGAUGAAGGCCUUAGGGUUGUAAAGCUCUUGUACCCGGGAUGAUAAUGACAGUACCGGGAGAAUAAGCUCCGGCUAACUCCGUG
rnacentral:rRNA from 1 species